UGGGGAAUAUUGCACAAUGGGCGAAAGCCUGAUGCAGCAACGCCGCGUGAGUGAUGAAGGUCUUCGGAUUGUAAAGCUCUGUCUUUUGGGACGAUAAUGACGGUACCAAAGGAGGAAGCCACGGCUAACUACGUGCCAGCAGCCGCGGUAAUACGUAGGUGGCGAGCGUUGUCCGGAUUUACUGGGCGUAAAGGGUGCGUAGGCGGAUGUUUAAGUGAGAUGUGAAAUACCCGGGCUUAACUUGGGUGCUGCAUUUCAAACUGGAUAUCUAGAGUGCAGGAGAGGAGAAUGGAAUUCCUAGUGUAGCGGUGAAAUGCGUAGAGAUUAGGAAGAACACCAGUGGCGAAGGCGAUUCUCUGGACUGUAACUGACGCUGAGGCACGAAAGCGUGGGUAGCAAACAGGAUUAGAUACCCUGGUAGUCCACGCCGUAAACGAUGAGUACUAGGUGUAGGAGGUAUCGACCCCUUCUGUGCCGCAGUAAACACAUUAAGUACUCCGCCUGGGAAGUACGAUCGCAAGA
rnacentral:rRNA from 1 species